AGACUCUGGUUUCUCUUCAGAUCGUACAAAUCUUUUGCCUUUUACUAAAGAUUUCUGUGGAGAGGAGUAACUCUGAGUCCCCAACAG
rnacentral:snRNA from 1 species